CUGGCUCAGAUGAACGCUGGCGGCAGGCCUAACACAUGCAAGUCGAACGGUAACAGGAAGCAGCUGCUGCUUGCUGACGAGUGGCGGACGGGUGAGUAAUGUCUGGGAAACUGCCCGAUGGAGGGGGAUAACUACUGGAAACGGUAGCUAAUACCGCGUAAUGUCGCAAGACCAAAGAGGGGGACCUUCGGGCCUCUUGCCAUCGGAUGUGCCCAGAUGGGAUUAGCUAGUUGGUGAGGUAACGGCUCACCAAGGCGACGAUCCCUAGCUGGUCUGAGAGGAUGACCAGCCACACUGGAACUGAGACACGGUCCAGACUCCUACGGGAGGCAGCAGUGGGGAAUAUUGCACAAUGGGCGCAAGCCUGAUGCAGCCAAUGCCGCGUGUAUGGAGAAGGCCUUCGGGUUGUAAAGUACUUUCAGCGGGGAGGAAGGGGUUAAGGUUAAUAACCUUAGCCAUUGACGUUACCCGCAGAAGAAGCACCGGCUAACUCCGUGCCAGCCGCCGC
rnacentral:rRNA from 1 species